CUGCUAUGAUGACAAUCUUAGGACACCUUUGGAAAUAACCAUGAAAACACACGAUUUAUAUCUGAGCACG